rnacentral:rRNA from 1 species
CGGGGUGCACCAGGCGCGAAAACUUUGCAAUGCUGGAAACAGCGAUAAGGGGACCUCGAGUGCCAGGUUACAAAUCUGGCUGUCGUGAUGCCUAAAAAGCAUUGCAUAGCAAGGGCCGGGCAAGACCGGUGCCAGCCGCCGCGGUAACACCGGCGGCUCGAGUGGUAACCGUUAUUAUUGGGUCUAAAGGGUCUGUAGCCGGCCGGAUAAGUCUCUUGGGAAAUCCAGCAGCUCAACUGUUGGGCUUUCAGGAGAUACUGUCUGGCUCGAGGCCGGGAGAGGUGAGAGGUACUUCAGGGGUAGGGGUGAAAUCUUGUAAUCCUUGAAGGACCACCAGUGGCGAAGGCGUCUCACCAGAACGGACCUGACGGCAAGGGACGAAAGCUAGGGGCACGAACCGGAUUAGAUACCCGGGUAGUCCUAGCCGUAAACGAUACUCGCUAGGUGUCGGCCACGGUGCGACCGUUGUCGGUGCCGUAGGGAAGCCGUGAAGCGAGCCACCUGGGAAGUACGGCCGCAAGGCUGAAACUUAAAGGAAUUGGCGGGGGAGCAC